rnacentral:lncRNA from 1 species
AAAGCUUAUCAGAGCUGCCAACACAAUGGAGAAGAAGAAGAAGAAAGAAAGAAAGAGGCAAAUAGGGUGGACCUUUCAUGAGGGAAAGAGAUAUAGUAAGCAAACUUUGUUUGGCUGUUGAUUGGUGUGUCUGUCUGGGUGAGAGCUCACAAAUGGAGACCAGUGGGUUGUGGUUUGAUGGUGGUGAGAGAUUAUUUGGGGUAGAGGACAUCUACUGCACAAGCUCUCUCUAUUACUCUCUAUUAGGAGUAGAUGUACUGCAACUAUUACCACCAGCAGCAGAGUAUUUUGAUUUCAUAUGUGAUCAUUGCUUUCAAGCAUCCUUCACUUUUCUGUGAUUCUGCAUUCUAGAAUCUUGAUAAUUAAACAUGUAGAAAAUGAGAAACCUGGGUGAUCCAUCUCAGCUCAGGGUUCCUUGUAGGCAGGAAAAAGGGAAUGUGGUGGUGAAGUGGCAUUUUAUAAAAAGAAUCCCAAUCGGGAGAAACCUUCAAAAUCUGAAUCACUCGCUCACUCACUCUUCUGCACUCACUGGGUACUUACUUUUCCUGUUACUUAAGGGUUGAAGUUGGGGGGGGGGACAUUUGACCUAAUUUUACUCCGAUGUUCCUGUUGGUGUUCCUUUUUUCCUCUCCUCCUUUUUCCUUCUCUCCGAGCUUAGGGCUGGGUCUGUGGGCCUCCCUUACCCCAAGUUGCUCCAGGUAGGCACUGCUGGCAGGCUGUCCGUGCUUUUUAACCUAUCGGGGGCUGCCCUUGCCCUUCCCCUUCUCUCUCCUGCUCUCACUUCCUUGUAGGAGGGGUAUGAAAAGGUCUCCUUGCACCUGCGAAGAGCCAUUUCCCCCCCUCCCCACAUUCAUUCAAUUACAGGAUUAGGGUUUGGGUUUCACCGUUCCCAUUGGAAUAGUUUUAAAAUAAAAUAAAAACCACAUGCACCCACACAAAACUUCACAUAUGCUCUCUCUCACUCUCACACACGCAACAAGAGUUGAUUAAAUUACUAAAAAGUCUUAUUGAAUUAUCACAAUUAGUGUAAUGAAAGGAUGCGGAAACGUCAAGAUAAUAUCAAGACGGAAAACAUGUAUGGGUGAAUUCAAAAAACGAGAUGCUUUUUGUUGUCUAUUUUUGCGUGAUACAUCUUCAAUUUGAUUAUACUCUGAUUCAAGCGAUCCUACAUGCUUAACUUUAUUAUAAAUUUAAAUUGCAUAAAUAUUUUAAUUGCAAUAUUAAUAUAGAUGUGAAUAGAAUUACUAGGCAUACAUUAACACGAAAAAAUCAAGUCAAAACUAACUUAAACCAAAUUUAGACCUUGAUUUUAGGCACGUAAUCUUAUCAAAAUAUUAUCUGAAUCUAAUCAAAAGCUGUCUGUAUUUUAAUUCGGUGAGGUACUUUGUAAACCAAUGCCCUGAAAACCAUCAACUGAAUAAACCUUCGUCAUCAAAAUUAAUCAAUGCAUCAAAUGUAAAAAUACAUGAGCAUCUUAAAAAAAAUUGAGUCUAAAAAAUCAUGUAUAUAUCGAAUUACAAAAUAAAUCAAAGGAAUGGUUUUUCCCAUAAUAAAGCUCAAAUUAUUGUUGUUGAUAAGAUGAAACUCAUGUGAAAAUUAACAAAUAAAUUAUUUUAAAAACUUCUCUUGCUCAAGCCAAGACUUUAAUACUUUUGGGAACUUGUUCACUGCCGUCCUUUGCAAUAUUCUUGUAAAAGGUUCUCAAUAAAUCCUUAUCACAAAAAACUACUAAAAGAAAUCUUUGCCGAAAAGCUUUUACACAACAUGUAGAUAAACAAUGUGGGAAAAGAAUGUAAAAAUUAAAGAUGAGGAUAUUUAUAAGACAUGAAAAGUAUU